rnacentral:lncRNA from 1 species
UUAGAACCUUAUUAUCUAUUGACUAAACCAUUGAUCUUCCUUAAAAUUUUAUACACCUCUCAAUCUCUUAGUUCAAAACUAGCAUAAUAAGUUAAAAGAAAAUUGAACUUACAAAAAGGGAGAAAAAUAUUAUAAUCUACUCAAAUGUUGGCUAGCUUCUAUCUUUGACUUAAUGUUGAUCUUUCAAUAGCAAUAACUCCUAAUUAAAUUACUAAAUUUCUUUCAAAUUUUUCAAAAAUAUUAAAAUUCAAGUCAACUAUUAGCUCUAAUAAAAAUCACCUCUAUUCAAUUGGAAAAUUGUUGCAAAUCUUAG